rnacentral:rRNA from 1 species
UACAGAGGUCUCAAGCGUUGUUCGGAUUCAUUGGGCGUAAAGGGUGCGUAGGCGGCGCGGUAAGUCGGGUGUGAAAUCUCGGAGCUUAACUCCGAAACUGCAUUCGAUACUGCCGUGCUUGAGGACUGGAGAGGAGACUGGAAUUUACGGCGUAGCGGUGAAAUGCGUAGAUAUCGGAAGGAAGACCAGUGGCGAAGGCGGGUCUCUGGACAGUUCCUGACGCUGAGGCACGAAGGCCAGGGGAGCAAACGGG